rnacentral:rRNA from 1 species
ACAUGCAAGUCGAACGGUAACGCGGGGCAACCUGGCGACGAGUGGCGAACGGGUGAGUAAUAUAUCGGAACGUGCCCAGUAGUGGGGGGUAGCCCGGCGAAAGCCGGAUUAAUACCGCAUGAGACCUGAGGGUGAAAGCGGGGGAUCGCAAGACCUCGCGCUAUUGGAGCGGCCGAUAUCAGAUUAGCUAGUUGGUGGGGUAAAGGCCUACCAAGGCAACGAUCUGUAGUUGGUCUGAGAGGACGACCAGCCACACUGGGACUGAGACACGGCCCAGACUCCUACGGGAGGCAGCAGUGGGGAAUUUUGGACAAUGGGCGCAAGCCUGAUCCAGCAAUGCCGCGUGCAGGAAGAAGGCCUUCGGGUUGUAAACUGCUUUUGUCAGGGAAGAAAUCUUCUGGGUUAAUACCUCGGGAGGAUGACGGUACCUGAAGAAUAAGCACCGGCUAACUACGUGCCAGCAGCCGCGGUAAUACGUAGGGUGCGAGCGUUAAUCGGAAUUACUGGGCGUAAGGCGUGCGCAGGCGGCUUUGCAAGACAGAUGUGAAAUCCCCGGGCUCAACCUGGGAACUGCAUUUGUGACUGCAAGGCUAGAGUACGGCAGAGGGGGAUGGAAUUCCGCGUGUAGCAGUGAAAUGCGUAGAUAUGCGGAGGAACACCAAUGGCGAAGGCA